CUAGCCAUUUGGAUGAGUGACGGCCACAUGGUAAUGGAGUGCCACUAGCACAGUGUUUCAGUAUAGUACAGGGGAAUGCAACUGUGAAGCACCAGUGUGUGAAGUCGCCUUCAGUUAAAGAAGAUUUUAAUAGUUUUUUACAAACCGUUUGAUGUGACCAGUAUGCAAGUCUUAUAACCAGCUAUUGCGGUAUGAUUCAAUGUGAAUUGUUUCAGGUAUGAGCAUGUUAAAUAAUAUUAAAUGUGUGUUAAUGAUGUGCUUGAUCUUAUGUGUUUGCAUUUUUUUUUUUUUUUUUUUUUUUUUUUUUUUGUCAGUCACUGUUUUCCUUGCCUUCAGAUUAUGUUAAUGCUUUAGUGUUUGUCACGUGUUAACCGGAUGCAGCGCUCUGUUAUCGCAUUGAGAAGCACUAAGGUGGAGAGACUCAUUCUUUUGUUGUGUUCUUUGUAUUUUGCAUUGUGUAUAUCAUAUUGUAUUUUUAUUUUGUUUAUUUGGUCAUUGGCAAUUGUAUAAUUUACAAUAUUUAUGGUGCAAUUGCACAGAGCAAUGUGCAGUAAUUCCCUUUAAUGUAUAACAGAAGUGUGCCGAUUGCAGUGUAUCAAGCGAAGGUGAUUGAUUUGAUUUGCGCUGUGAUUUCCUGCUUGUGUAUUGGAGUUUAGUGUGUAUUUGGUGUUAUAUUUAAAGGGUUUACGACUUGCCUUGAACGUGUACCUUUCAUUGGAGAGUUAUUUAUUUGCUUUUUUAUG